ensembl:lncRNA
CGAGCUCACAAAGAGCACGCGCAUUUUUGCGGUCCGGAGCUGUAGGAGAAACACAAACUACCUCAGACACACAGACUGAUGCGACAAAACCAACAUGGCUGGUAAGGACAUGAGGAGAAAACAGUAGGAGCUGUGUGAGGAUACUAAAGGCAGUGGAUCCCUCAGCAGCUGGAUUACAAAGAGCACAGAUGGACAGCAAGUGGAGAGUGAUAGAUGAGAUGAGGGGAUGGAAGGAGGAAGAGAGGCAAAGAGUGAUUCACAGGCAGGGUCUAGUUUAUUUCUCAGUUUUUUGUUGCCUUAUGGUUCCAAGCGCUGUCACCAAUCUUUGCAUUUUGUUAUUAUCUCAUGACACUUGUUUAAUCAGCUACCAUCUCUCCUAUGGACUUUUUAAUGUCUACAG